GCCUCUAUAGCUCAGGGGUAGAGCAGUAGUUUUGUAAACUAAAGGUCGGGGGUUCGAAUCCCUCUAGAGGCU
rnacentral:tRNA from 1 species